GAGUUUGAUCCUGGCUCAGAACGAACGCUGGCGGCAGGCCUAACACAUGCAAGUUGAACGAUGUAGCAAUACAGAGUAGCGCACGGGUGCGUAACGCGUGGGAAUAUGCCCUUCACUACGGAACAACGUUUGGAAACGAACGCUAAUACCGUAUAAUGACUUCGGUCCAAAGAUUUAUCGGUGAAGGAUUAGCCCGCGUCUGAUUAGCUAGUUGGUGAGGUAAUGGCUCACCAAGGCGACGAUCAGUAGCUGGUCUGAGAGGAUGAUCAGCCACACUGGGACUGAGACACGGCCCAGACUCCUACGGGAGGCAGCAGUGAGGAAUAUUGGACAAUGGGGGCAACCCUGAUCCAGCCAUGCCGCGUGAGUGAUGAAGGCCUUCGGUUGU
rnacentral:rRNA from 1 species